GAGUCCCAGGCCUCUCCGGGCCUACGGAAGCACCGGGUGCCCGCGGCGAAGCCGGCCGGGCAAGGCCCUCAGAGUACGGCCUGAGCACACACACCGGACGCCCGGGACCGAAAAGGAGACCCGGAGGAGCAGCCGCGUCCCCUGGGCCUGCGCCAAGGCUUCGGCGGGGCGCGCUGCGGGGCCGGGAGGCCAUUUUGAGAGCGAACGAGCGGCGGCAAGAUGGCUGCGUGGGCACGAGGACGCACUCCAGGGUGGGCCAGGAGAAGAGAAAAAAGAAAAGACAGCUUGGUGAUGACUAAGAAGCCUUCUCUCCUCAGACAUGGUGAGAUGUACUCGGAUCUAGAGCAGGCAGCUGGCCAGAGACCCACAGGGAGCUCAGUGAUUGGCCUCAGAUGACCUUGGGGACAAAGAUUGUCCUGUGAAGGGAAGUGAUGGCACGGGCUCUGAUCAGCUCUUCUGGGAACAGACAGAGAAGUGAGAAUUC
rnacentral:lncRNA from 1 species